GAUUAUUGGACUGAAGUGACUUUCACAGAAACAGCCUCAUCAUCUCUAAAUGUCUCUUGAUGCAUGAAAACUAUUAAAUCUGAAUAAAUAAUAUAAUCAGAAAGACUCUGUACUGAUCAUCACACAUCUGAACUCAGGGUUUUUGCUCAGAGAGUCACUUUGCAUCGGCUCAUGCUUCAGCGCUCCGAGUGUUUAUAGCGUUCAGACUCAAACACUUUAUAACACACUGCUGUUUACCACGGUACAAACCCAACAAACACCAUGAAUCUCUUCAGCAGCUUCAUCUGGAUUCUGGCAGCUUUUAUUCCAGCAUCCAGAGGAAUCACUGUGACUCAGCCUGAAGCUGUGACUGUUUCUGAAGGACAAAACGCCAAAAUAGAGUGUAAAACUGAUCCUGGGAUAGAUGGCUGGGGUUUAGCUUGGUAUCAGCAGAAACAUGGAGAAGCUCCUAAACUCAUUAUUUAUUCUGUAAAUGAUCGAUAUGAUGAGAGUUUCAGUCGAUUCAGUGGGAAUGGAAGAUCUGGAGGGACUGAUUUCACUCUGACCAUCAGUGGAGUCCAGACUGAAGAUGCUGGACAUUAUUACUGUAACAGUCGCCACAGUAUCAGUGGUAAAUAUGUGUUCACACAGUGAUAAAGAGUCGUACAAAAACCUCCAUCAGUCAGAGUCACAGUGACUGAACUGAUACUGCAGCUGCUCACACACUUUCACACACUUUCACACACUUUCACACUGAAGAAAAACUCAAUAUGAUCUUAUUGAACAUCACUUUUGUUGAGCUGAAUCAGUUUUUAAACAUUUUGAUUAUGAUUUUUUAGAAGUCAUAUUUGUCUCCUGUUAUCCUAUAACAUCCUUUAUGUAGAAAUUCAGUCACUUUUGAUCUUCACAUUUUUUUAUCCUUCACAUUUUUUUUUGAUUUUCUGCAUUUAUGAUUUAUCUUUAUUCUUCUUUUUAAACUAAAUCAUAUCAUAAACAUGUUCUGUUUGAUCAGUUUAAUAAUCUAUUGAUUUAUUAACUUCAUCCCUCAUAAUGCAGAUAUUAACAGCAUCAUAUAAACACAUUCCUCAGUUUCACAGCAGAUGAUAAUAAUUUAUAUUAAUAUCUAUGUAUAGAGGAAUUAUCAAUUAUAUUAAAAAAGGUUAAAGACCAGAUUACCCAACAGGUGCUGUCCAUGAUCAAAAACAGCACAUGUAUGUCACCAAAAAAUUUUUGGAUGAAGAGAAUGGAUAUAGUGCCAGACACAAAUCCAAAUAAAUUAAAUACUCAUUAUUAAAUUAAUUAAUUAAUUAAUUUUUAGAGCUUUGAAUAGAUUAUGGGUAUGAUUAUAUUGUUAAUGUAUCAUUGUAUCUAUUUCCGGUGUGAUCAAUGUCAGUAUAUUAUAAUAAUAACACGGCACUGAUGAAGGAUUGAUCCCGAAAACAUUUUGCACUCUUUGUACUUUAUUUGAGGCCUCUGGAUAAUAAAUUCUUGUGAACUUUUAUGGCCAUUUUUCAUGUGCGGAUCUUAUUUGUUUUUUAAUCUUGGAGCUAUUUUUGGACCUAUGCACCACCAGAAGUUUGUGUAUUUAAUUUAUUUGGACUUGUGUCUGUUGCUACGCUUUUCCAAUCUUUUCAACCAUAUUUUUUAAAAUUAUUUUAUAAAUAUUUCUAAAAGUGAAGAUGUUUCUAUCAUGUGACUCACAAUCAAACUCAGUUGAUUCAGUGAUUGACAGAGACUCGUGUGUGAUGAUCCUCAUGUCUGUUCAGAAACUGCAGGAACACACAUGGAUUUGGUGUAAAUUUGGGGAUUAACAGUGACGUUUCAAUCCAACUACAGUAAAAAUAUUCUCAGAGUCUCACAGCAGAUAUUCAGAUUAAUAUACUGAAGUUGGUCUUGUAGAUUUAUUCAGAAUUGAAUUAUACAAUUUUUAACAGUUUGUCUGUUAGAAGAUUGAAUGAUAUGAAAAAUACUGAUUUUUACUAGAUGUUCACUUCAGUAAUUGUAUUUUGUGUCUGUUAAUGAGUGAAGGUCUUCUGGUAAAUGAUCUGGAGUGUGUUUGCAUAUUGAUCAGAUGCUUCAGUGCUCUGAGAGUGUUUAUAGUGCUGUGAGUUUAACACUUCAUCACUCAGAGCUUUUCUUCAUUCAAACUGAAAUUAAACCACCAACAAGCAGAACGAUGAUCAUCAGCGUCAGUAUCUGGACUCUCAUUCUUUCUGUUCAAGGAAUUACAGGACAAGUUUCUGUGACUCAAACUCCCUCAGCAGCAGCUGUUCAACCAGGAGAAACAGUUACUAUAAACUGUAAAACUAGCAGAGGAAUCGGAGAUCGUUCAGCGGGUUGCCGUAAAUGUCUCGCCUGG